UACGUAGGGUCCGAGCGUUGUCCGGAAUUAUUGGGCGUAAAGGGCUCGUAGGCGGUUUGUCGCGUCGGGAGUGAAAACACCGGGCUUAACUCGGUGCUUGCUUUCGAUACGGGCAGACUGGAGGUAUGCAGGGGAGAACGGAAUUCCUGGUGUAGCGGUGAAAUGCGCAGAUAUCAGGAGGAACACCGGUGGCGAAGGCGGUUCUCUGGGCAUGACCUGACGCUGAGGAGCGAAAGUGUGGGGAGCGAACAGG
rnacentral:rRNA from 1 species